CCAGCUUGCAAUUCCACCAACAAUAGAGGAGUGUUCCUGUUUCUCCAUAUUUUCGCAAGUGUCCAUUGUCAGAUAAAAGUUGACCUGAGCCAAACUGGGAUAUACUCCUUAUUAGAAGAUAAGGAGUAUGCAGCUACAGAUGGGAGCCAGGAAGGCUCAGCACAUUAAGGUAUCUAUCUACAAAGAGCAAAAAUGAGAUGAAGACAUCAGCUACCCAUGGACUCCGGCAACUUGCUGCACUGUACAAGAUCUGGCCACUGCAGAGAUGGCAGCAUAUGGCAUACCUGCUCCUAACAGCUCCCCAUCUGUGGAUUCAAAGAAGAAACUGAGCACCUCUACCUCCAGGUGAGAUACAUUGUGGCUAGGUGGACACUGGGCAGAAAUUGCCUAUUUUUUCUACAGAACUGUACUGUUCUUGAGAGGACACAAAUUAGGUUAAGACAGCUUAGUUCUGCCAACAAGGAAUAAGCUAGUCCUUAAUAAUUCCUGUUUCACUAGUGUCUGUCAGAUUCUUGGGCCAGAGGGCUGAAGACUGAUGUUCCAACUUCCUGCCAUACUAGGACUAUAUAGGUAGGCAACUGUCUCUACAAUUUGUCUCAGUUCUGGAAGCUGUGUUAGGCUUCCUAUAUUUUCAGAUAAUAUUGGACUAAUUGUAGUCUCAUAGCAUAGCUAAGCUCUUUAGCAUUGAGAGGACAUAUUUGAUUGGGUAGUUUUCAGACAAUAUACAAGCUGAGCUAGGACAUAACGGAUAUGGAUUCAUAAGCCUCUUUUAAGUUAGUGUAGAUAACAAAGUGUUCUAUUUAAUUGACAAAAAGGAUGGACUGGGUGUUAGGUCUACCUUGUACUUUGUUAACUACAGAAUGGUAAUAGUUAUACUCAGCUUAUAUUUGAG
rnacentral:sRNA from 1 species